rnacentral:lncRNA from 1 species
AGCUGAGAGGUUUCUGAGGGCUGAGCUGCUGAGCUGAAUGGGAAGAGAGCAAGACAGACAUCAGCCCCUCACCUCGCACUGCCACUUUGUCUGCCAUUGACACAGCAGAAGGUUUUCUCUGGCAGGGAUGUGUGACUACUAUGUGAGCUUGCCUGCUGCAGCAAAGGAAGGGCAUUUAACCACCCAGCUGGUGAAGUCCUACAUGGCAAACACCUGUAUCUGGAACAGUCAUUUCAAAGAGUGCAGCAGUCAUUUGCAAAACUUCAGCAAAGGAGAUUUGUUGAAAAACGGGCCCUGUUGGCAGGUAAUGAAUGCAAAAUCAUUUUAAUGGGGGAACCCCUGGGAAUGGGAGCAAAAGUUUUGAGCAUUUACAAUUUUACAAUGACGUGUGACCAGCUGUUGGAUAAAAUGGGCCUCCAGCAGUGGAGCUCACUGGAAUGAGAACGUUUGUGUGGAUAUUUUCAACUCAGCAGCUCUGCUAAAGAAGGAAACUGGAUCAUCCAAACAACAAAAGAACAGGUCUGGACAGGGAAACAUCACGAGGACAUACAGCACUUGUUAAACCCACUGCACAAGGAGAACUCCAUCUCCACUUUGAGGGCCAGGAACUGUUGAGGC